GAUCCCAGCACAGUAAAGGAAUGGCAUCAGUGAAAGGGAAGAAAAUACAGAACAUAUUUGGAAAUAGAGAAUAAUCCAGUGUAGUAAGAGCAGAAAGUACAGGGGCAGAGUCAAGGUGUUAAGACUGGAAGGCAGGUGAGAUCCAGGUCAUGAGAUUCCUAGAAUACUCAUCUGAAGCUGGGCCUUAUCAGAAUCACAAAGAGGAGUCACUGAGGAGCUUCCUGGAGCCAGGAACUCUCACAAGGCUGUCCUUAAGAGAAGUACAUCACACAGGAAAAUGAAGGAUGAGAAAGAGGGGAGAGGCAGACGGCUGGGAGCCCAGAAGCCCAGCAAUCACACAGGACUGUGGCAGAUAGUGAAGAGUCUGACCAGACUUUAAGUAAGAGUGAAGCUGAAAGAGCAAAAGAAGCAAACUUCAUAUUCUGUUUUCCAGUUUUAAGCAAAGACAAGAAGAAAGAAAGAAAGGAAGAAACCCCAAGAAGUCCAUUUUUAAAUUUCUGCUUAUGUAACAGGAGCCUGUGAACUGCACAGAAUUUAAUUGAAGGAAAAGUAACUGUAGGGGAAUUGCUUGGAGAGCUGCCAGAAGGGUUUUAACAGCUGGAAGUUGAAAAGUGAUUAAUUUUGACAGCAAUAAAAGCCUCAUGUUCAUACAUAAUUAUGCUUAGA